rnacentral:rRNA from 1 species
GACGAACGCUGGCGGCGUGCUUAACACAUGCAAGUCGAACGGAAAGGCCCUGCUUUUGUGGGGUGCUCGAGUGGCGAACGGGUGAGUAACACGUGAGUAACCUGCCCUUGACUUUGGGAUAACUUCAGGAAACUGGGGCUAAUACCGGAUAGGAGCUCCUGCUGCAUGGUGGGGGUUGGAAAGUUUCGGCGGUUGGGGAUGGACUCGCGGCUUAUCAGCUUGUUGGUGGGGUAGUGGCUUACCAAGGCUUUGACGGGUAGCCGGCCUGAGAGGGUGACCGGCCACAUUGGGACUGAAAUACGGCCCAGACGCCUACGGAAGGCAGCAGUGGGGAAUAUUGCACAAUGGGCGGAAGCCUGAUGCAGCAACGCCGCGUGCGGGAUGACGGCCUUCGGGUUGUAAACCGCUUUCGCCUGUGACGAAGCGUGAGUGACGGUAAUGGGUAAAGAAGCACCGGCUAACUACGUG